rnacentral:lncRNA from 1 species
UUCUCUUGAAUACGGUUGGUUGCGGAGGCUGGCCGUGGCGACGCGGGUGGCAGGAGGAGGAAGGAAAGAGAGGGGGAUUUAUUUCUAGAACUUCGCAAGUAGAAGGACUAAAAUGCAAAAAAAAAAAUGUACUACGCCCAUAACAAUUGUCUUUAUGCAUCUUGUUCAUCCGUGACUCUCACAAAGCANCUUACAAGGUAAUUUCAAAUUCCCUGUAUGCUACAACACUACAUAGUUGUUUUGAGCGAAUCGGAUCGUGAUUUCUCCAUACUGAUAUUUUAUAAAUUUUCAGAUUACAAAGUAUGGUACAAGGAGGGAGAAGGAGAAGACAUGAAACACCUGGGAGGCAGUUUUUUUUAAAAGGACCUGAGAGGUAGAUGACCUACAAAAACUUAAGAAGACAAACUGUGUACGUGUUGAUGUGCAUGUCCACAGCAUUUUUCACGUCAGUAUGCCAUUUUCUUUUUUGUUCAUGUCAGUAUGUUAUCAUCUUUGUUAUUGAGUAGAAUCAUGAACAGUUUCC